rnacentral:rRNA from 1 species
UAAGCGGAGGAAAAGAAACUAACAAGGAUUCCCCUAGUAACGGCGAGUGAAGCGGGAUGAGCUCAAAUUUGAAAGCUGGCACCUUUGGUGUCCGCAUUGUAAUCUCGAGAAGUAGUUUCUGUGCCGGACCAUGUACAAGUUCCUUGGAAUAGGACAUCAGAGAGGGUGAGAAUCCCGUACUUGACAUGGACCCCGGUGCUUUGUGAUCUGCUCUCUAUGAGUCGAGUUGUUUGGGAAUGCAGCUCAAAGUGGGUGGUAAAUUCCAUCUAAAGCUAAAUAUUGGGGAGAGACCGAUAGCGAACAAGUACCGUGAGGGAAAGAUGAAAAGCACUUUGGAAAGAGAGUUAAACAGUACGUGAAAUUGUCAAAAGGGAAGCGCUUGAGGUUAGCCAUGCAUGCAGUAUUCAGCCUUUCUUUUGAGGGGGGGUGGAUUUGCUGUUGUGCAGGCCAGCAUCGGUUUUGUCUGCUAGAUAAUCGUAAGGGAAAUGUGGCACCCUCGGGUGUGUUAUAGACUCUUACUGGAUACAGUGGAUGGGACCGAGGACCGCAGUGUGCCGUAAGGCGGCUCUUCGGAGACCUUCGCACUUAGGAUGCUGGCGUAAUGGCCUUAACCGGCCCGUCUUGAAACACGG